AAGCCUUGUAUCAUUAUCGUCAGACACAAGUCCAGAGAGAGCCUGACAAUGGCUUUGAUGCUGUGAAAGGGAAAACUUCAAACGGCUACAGGAGAAAGCGCCACUUUCAAGGUCCACUUCAGGAAAUGAGCAACGGACUCUAUCCGAAUAGGUCACAGGCAGAAUCAUGAAAAGAUGGGACUCUAUGCCUCACAUUAUAAUGGCGGAAACGAGAAAAUGGGGAACAUGCAAACACAAGCAUGACUGUCAUUUCCAUGAAUAAGCAAAGCAAAGCAUUGUUUUAAAAAUAGCACAUUUCAUACACAAGCCCAAGAUGUACCCGACCCCUGUGCAACUGGCUGCUGGACCUUUUGAC